AUGGCGUACAGGUUAACUCUGCCACUUGACAGUCGCAUUCACAACGUUUUUCAUGUGUCCCAGCUGAAGCCGUUCACUCCAGACUAAACACCAGUAUUCUCUGAACUGCCCAAGACACCAGAUCUCACAGCUGCAACACUCGUACCAGAAGCUAUCCUGGAGCGCCGCAUGGUCAAGAAAGGGAACGCCUCCAUCGUGCAAGUCCGAGUACAAUGGUCAUCCCUCUCGGACGCGUCUGCAACUUGGGAAGAACAGUUCUGA
rnacentral:rRNA from 1 species